rnacentral:rRNA from 1 species
UUACCGAGUUUUCGGGCUUGGCUCGACUCUCCCACCCUUUGUGAACGUACCUCUGUUGCUUUGGCGGCUCCGGCCGCCAAAGGACCUCCAAACUCCAGUCAGUAAACGCAGACGUCUGAUAAACAAGUUAAUAAACUAAAACUUUCAACAACGGAUCUCUUGGUUCUGGCAUCGAUGAAGAACGCAGCGAAAUGCGAUAAGUAAUGUGAAUUGCAGAAUUCAGUGAAUCAUCGAAUCUUUGAACGCACAUUGCGCCCCUUGGUAUUCCGGGGGGCAUGCCUGUUCGAGCGUCAUUACAACCCUCAAGCUCUGCUUGGAAUUGGGCACCGUCCUCACUGCGGACGCGCCUCAAAGACCUCGGCGGUGGCUGUUCAGCCCUCAAGCGUAGUAGAAUACACCUCGCUUUGGAGUGGUUGGCGUCGCCCGCCGGACGAACCUUCUGAACUUUUCUCAAGGUAGACCUCGGAUCAGGUAGGAUCCCG